rnacentral:rRNA from 1 species
UACAGAGGUCUCAAGCGUUGUUCGGAUUCAUUGGGCGUAAAGGGCGUGUAGGUGGCGCCGUAAGUCGGGUGUGAAAUUUCGGAGCUUAACUCCGAAACUGCAUUCGAUACUGCGGUGCUUGAGGACUGGAGAGGAGACUGGAAUUCAUGGUGUAGCAGUGAAAUGCGUAGAGAUCAUGAGGAAGACCAGUGGCGAAGGCGGGUCUCUGGACAGUUCCUGACACUGAGACACGAAGGCCAGGGGAGCAAACAGG